rnacentral:rRNA from 1 species
CUCACUGAUAUUUUAAAGAGCUGCAGUAUUUUAACUGUACAAAGGUAGCAUAAUCAUUAGUUUUUUAAUUGGAGACUGGUAUGAAAGGUUAGACGUAGUUUAGCUGUCUUUAGUAUAAUUAAUGAAGUUAAUUUGUUUGUGAAAAAGCAUCGAUGAGUUAAAGGGACAAGAAGACCCUAUUAAAUUUAAAUAUAACAUUUAUUAUUAUACAUAUAAGCUAUAAAUAAUUUUAUAUAUUUUAUUUGGGGCGAAUGGUAUUGAUUUAUACAGUAUUAUAGUGUAAUAUUUUAUAUGACAUUUGUUUGGUCUAGUGUUGAUUAAGUAUAAGAAUAAAUUACUGUAGGGAUAACAGCGUAAUAUUUUUUAAGAGUUCAUAUUGACAAGAAUGUUUGCGACCUCGAUGUUGGAUUAAGAAUUCUGCUUAGCGCAAAGGUUAUGCUAGAUGGUCUGUUCGACCAUUAAAUUCUUACAUGAUCUGAGUUCAAACCGGAGA